CUGUCCUUUCCGCGCUAUCUGCAGAGGGAUCCAUACGGCGUUGUUCUGGAUUCCCGUCGUAACUUAAAGGGAAACUUUCACAAUGUCCGGAGCCCUUGAUGUCCUGCAAAUGAAGGAGGAGGAUGUCCUUAAGUUCCUUGCAGCAGGAACCCACUUAGGUGGCACCAAUCUUGACUUCCAGAUGGAACAGUACAUCUAUAAAAGGAAAAGUGAUGGCAUCUAUAUCAUAAAUCUGAAGAGGACGUGGGAGAAGCUUCUGUUGGCAGCUCGUGCUAUUGUUGCCAUUGAAAACCCUGCUGAUGUCAGUGUUAUAUCCUCCAGGAAUACUGGCCAGGUUUGUGGAACAGUGGUUAGUUUUUAUAUUAUAGAAAUAAAGCUUACAGACAUUGUGAGACGUACAGAAAGAUAUAAGAAAAUAGAAAUAACUCAGGCUGGGCGAGGUGGCUCACACCUGUAAUCCCAGCACUUUGGGAGGUGGAGUCGGGCUGAUUACAAGGUCAGGAGAUCCACACCACAGUGAAACCCCGUCUCUACUAAAAAUACAAAAAAUUAGUGGGGCAUGAUGGCGGGUGCCUGUAGUCCCAGCUACUUGGGAGGCU
rnacentral:sRNA from 1 species